rnacentral:rRNA from 1 species
GAGUUUGAUCCUGGCUCAGAUUGAACGCUGGCGGCAGGCCUAAUACAUGCAAGUCGAACGGUAACAGCAGAGAGCUUGCUCUUUGGCUGACGAGUGGCGGACGGGUGAGUAAGACCUGGGAAUCUGCCUGGUAGUGGGGGACAACAGUUGGAAACGACUGCUAAUACCGCAUACUCCCUAAGGGGGAAAGACGCAAGUCGCUAUCAGAUGAGCCCAGGAGGGAUUAGCUAGUAGGUGAGGUAAAGGCUCACCUAGGCGACGAUCUCUAGCUGGUCUGAGAGGAUGAUCAGCCACAUUGGGACUGAGACACGGUCCAGACUCCUACGGGAGGCAGCAGUGGGGAAUAUUGCACAAUGGGCGCAAGCCUGAUGCAGCCAUGCCGCGUGUAUGAAGAAGGCCUUCGGGUUGUAAAGUACUUUCAGCGGGGAGGAAGGGAGUAAAGUUAAUACCUUUGCUCAUUGACGUUACCCGCAGAAGAAGCACCGGCUAACUCCGUGCCAGCAGCCGCGGUAAUACGGAGGGUGCAAGCGUUAAUCGGAAUUACUGGGCGUAAAGCGCACGCAGGCGGUUUGUUAAGUCAGAUGUGAAAUCCCCGGGCUCAACCUGGGAACUGCAUCUGAUACUGGCAAGCUUGAGUCUCGUAGAGGGGGGUAGAAUUCCAGGUGUAGCGGUGAAAUGCGUAGAGAUCUGGAGGAAUACCGGUGGCGAAGGCGGCCCCCUGGACGAAGACUGACGCUCAGGUGCGAAAGCGUGGGGAGCAAACAGGAUUAGAUACCCUGGUAGUCCACGCCGUAAACGAUGUCGACUUGGAGGUUGUGCCCUUGAGGCGUGGCUUCCGGAGCUAACGCGUUAAGUCGACCGCCUGGGGAGUACGGCCGCAAGGUUAAAACUCAAAUGAAUUGACGGGGGCCCGCACAAGCGGUGGAGCAUGUGGUUUAAUUCGAUGCAACGCGAAGAACCUUACCUGGUCUUGACAUCCACGGAAGUUUUCAGAGAUGAGAAUGUGCCUUCGGGAACCGUGAGACAGGUGCUGCAUGGCUGUCGUCAGCUCGUGUUGUGAAAUGUUGGGUUAAGUCCCGCAACGAGCGCAACCCUUAUCCUUUGUUGCCAGCGGUCCGGCCGGGAACUCAAAGGAGACUGCCAGUGAUAAACUGGAGGAAGGUGGGGAUGACGUCAAGUCAUCAUGGCCCUUACGACCAGGGCUACACACGUGCUACAAUGGCGCAUACAAAGAGAAGCGACCUCGCGAGAGCAAGCGGACCUCAUAAAGUGCGUCGUAGUCCGGAUUGGAGUCUGCAACUCGACUCCAUGAAGUCGGAAUCGCUAGUAAUCGUGGAUCAGAAUGCCACGGUGAAUACGUUCCCGGGCCUUGUACACACCGCCCGUCACACCAUGGGAGUGGGUUGCAAAAGAAGUAGGUAGCUUAACCUUCGGGAGGGCGCUUACCACUUUGUGAUUCAUGACUGGGGUGAAGUCGUAACAAGGUAGCCGUAG